UAGUCUCAGUUCGGAUCGGAGUCUGNAACCCGACUCCGUGAAGCUGGAUUCGCUAGUAAUCGCGCAUCAGCCAUGGCGCGGUGAAUACGUUCCCGGGCCUUGUACACACCGCCCGUCACACCAUGAGAGUCGGGAACACCCGAAGUCCGUAGCCUAACCGCAAGGGGGGCGCGGCCGAAGGUGGGUUCGAUAAUUGGGGUGAAGUCGUAACAAGGUAGC
rnacentral:rRNA from 1 species